CAGCUAGUUGGUAGGGGAAGAGCCUACCAAGGCGACGAUCGGUAGCUGGUCUGAGAGGACGAUCAGCCACACUGGGAUUGAGAACGGCCCAGACUCCUACGGGGGGCAGCAGUGAGGAAUUUUCCGCAAUGGGGGCAACCCUGACGGAGCAACGCCGCGUGCAGGAGGACGCUUUUCGGAGUGUAAACUGCUUUUCUGUGGGACGAGAAUGGACGGUACCACAGGAAGAAGCCCCGGCUAACUACGUGCCAGCAGCCGCGGUAAUACGUAGGGGGCGAGCGUUGUCCGGAGUUACUGGGCGUAAAGGGCAUGCAGGCGGUCGGACGCGUUUUGUGUGACAGCGGAUGGCUUAACUAUCCGAGGAUACGAAAGACGGUUUGACUUGAGGGCUCGAGAGGGACACGGAAUUCCGGGUGGAGUGGUGAAAUGCGUAGAGAUCCGGAGGAACACCAAAGGCGAAGGCAGUGUCCUGGCGAGUACCUGACGCUGAGGUGCGAAAGCUAGGGGAGCGAACGGGAUUAGAUACCCCGGUAGUCCUAGCCGUAAACGAUGACCACCAGGUGUGGGAGGUAUCGACCCCUUCCGUGCCGGAGGAAACCCACUAAGUGGUCCGCCUGGGG
rnacentral:rRNA from 1 species